AACGAGGCCGACCUGCGGCUGAGUUACCUGCGGAGGGAUCAUUUCAGAAUCGGUCGGCCUGGCCUGGCCUCCGUGCUCCGGCCAGCCGCGGACCCACCCUUCAGCCCGCGGAAACGAACCGUGCUUUGGGCGCCCCCUCGUGGGCGCCCCCUUCAUGCUGUCUGGCUUGUCGUGUCUGUUAUGAAAAGAGAAAUCAAAACUUUCAACAACGGAUCU
rnacentral:misc_RNA from 1 species